AUUGAACGCUGGCGGCAUGCCUUACACAUGCAAGUCGAACGGCAGCACGGGAGCAAUCCUGGUGGCGAGUGGCGAACGGGUGAGUAAUAUAUCGGAACGUGCCCAGUCGUGGGGGAUAACGCAGCGAAAGCUGUGCUAAUACCGCAUACGAUCUAAGGAUGAAAGCGGGGGAUCGCAAGACCUCGCGCGAUUGGAGCGGCCGAUAUCAGAUUAGCUAGUUGGUGGGGUAAAGGCCCACCAAGGCGACGAUCUGUAGCUGGUCUGAGAGGACGACCGGCCACACUGGAACUGAGACACGGUCCGGACUCCUACGGGAGGCAGCAGUGGGGAAUUUUGGACAAGGGGCGCAAGCCUGAUCCAGCAAUGCCGCGUGCAGGAUGAAGGCCUUCGGGUUGUAAACUGCUUUUGUACGGAACGAAACGGCCCUUUCUAAUACAGGGGGCUAAUGACGGUACCGUAAGAAUAAGCACCGGCUAACUACGUGCCAGCCGCCGCCGUAA
rnacentral:rRNA from 1 species